rnacentral:rRNA from 1 species
GACGAACGCUGGCGGCGUGCCUAAUACAUGCCAGUCGAGCGAAGUUUUUCUGGUGCUUGCCCUCGAAAAAUUUCGCGGCGAACGGGUGUGUAACACGUAUAGAACCUGCCUCAUAGACUGGGACAUCUAUUGGAAACGAUAGCUAAUACCGGAUAACAGUAUUUCUCGCAUUUGAGUUAUUUAAAAGUUGGUUAUUCUAACACUUUGAUAUGGCCUUGCGGUGCAUUAGCUAGUUGGUGGGGUAAAGGCCCACCAAGGCAACGAUGCAUAGCCGACCUGAGAGGGUGAUCGGCCACACUGGAACUGAGACACGGCCCAGACUCCUACGGGAGGCAGCAGUAGGGAAUCUUCCGCAAUGGGCGAAAGCCUGACGGAGCAACGCCGCGUGAGUGAUGAAGGAUUUCGGUUCGUAAAGCUCUGUUGUUAGGGAAGAAUGAAUAUGUAGUAACUAAACAUGUAAGAGACGGUACCUAACCAGAAAGCCACGGCUAACUACGUG